rnacentral:rRNA from 1 species
AACGAACGCUGGCGGCAGGCUUAACACAUGCAAGUCGAACGCCCCGCAAGGGGAGUGGCAGACGGGUGAGUAACGCGUGGGAACAUACCCUUUUCUACGGAAUAGCUCUGGGAAGCUGGAAUUAAUACCGUAUACGCCCUACGGGGGAAAGAUUUAUCGGGGAAGGAUUGGCCCGCGUUGGAUUAGCUAGUUGGUGGGGUAAAGGCCUACCAAGGCGACGAUCCAUAGCUGGUCUGAGAGGAUGAUCAGCCACAUUGGGACUGAGACACGGCCCAAACUCCUACGGGAGGCAGCAGUGGGGAAUAUUGGACAAUGGGCGCAAGCCUGAUCCAGCCAUGCCGCGUGAGUGAUGAAGGCCUUAGGGUUGUAAAGCUCUUUCACCGAUGAAGAUAAUGACGGUAGUCGGAGAAGAAGCCCCGGCUAACUUCGUG